rnacentral:rRNA from 1 species
GACGAACGCUGGCGGCGUGCUUAACACAUGCAAGUCGAACGGAAAGGCCCUGCUUUUGUGGGGUGCUCGAGUGGCGAACGGGUGAGUAACACGUGAGUAACCUGCCCUUGACUUUGGGAUAACUUCAGGAAACUGGGGCUAAUAACGGAUAGGAGCUCCUGCUGCAUGGUGGGGGUUGGAAAGUUUCGGCGGUUGGGGAUGGACUCGCGGCUUAUCAGCUUGUUGGUGGGGUAGUGGCUUACCAAGGCUUUGACGGGUAGCCGGCCUGAGAGGGUGACCGGCCGCAUUGGGACUGAGAUACGGCCCAGACUCCUACGGGAGGCAGCAGUGGGGAAUAUUGCACAAUGGGCGGAAGCCUGAUGCAGCAACGCCGCGUGCGGGAUGACGGCCUUCGGGUUGUAAACCGCUUUCGCCUGUGGCGAAGCGUGAGUGACGGUAAUGGGUAAAGAAGCACCGGCUAACUACGUG